UCAUCAUCAUCAUCAUCAUCAUCAUCAUCAUCAUUACUACGCCCCUGUCAGUUUCUGUAAACCACCAGUCAAUUCCCGUAAAUCCUGAUUCCUAUUUCAGUUUCCUUCUGAGAGGCACCGGGGGAAUUAUUCACACGGAAUUCCCCCUUUGUUUGGUGAAAGCCACUAAACCAACCUGCGGUAGAUCAGCAGCCAGCCAGUCAGUCAGUGUGCGGAGGAGACGGCAGAGGGACGGAUGCACGCGUGCUCGGCUCCGGGUCGUUGAAGAAGAUGUGUUGGAGUUGGUCCACAUACAGACUGUUACCACACUGACACGCCCCCACUGACUGCUACAGAGUGCAAUGUCCAAAUUACACCAAAUUCAACACUGCACUUCGCUGGGCCAUAAACGACAUUGCAGUCUUGGAAUCUGCAGUAAUUGAAGACAUUCAUCAGAUUAUGACAGCGUCGAAGGGAAGCUUUGCAUCGUGGGACUUGGAACGUGACCAGGUUAAACAUGAAAGCAAUCAAACAUAUGAUUUACAGCAAGAUCCCUUUCCUUUCUCCUACAGUAUGCUCUGAUUCACUUAUAAACUAUUUGUGAGGUGCACUGAUAACAUCUGCCAUGUUUUUCGGAUUUAAAUGGAUUAAUAUCUUGAAGAAUUCUGAGAUAAUAAUCCUGUUAAUUCUGAAAAAUGUGAAUGUGAUACACUUAUAUAAAAGUUAAAUUUCCGCCAAUAUUAUAUCGGGUAAUAGGAUCUUGUUGUGUUGCUGAAGGAGCUGAUGAUGAUAAAGGAUCUUUCAAAAUGCUGGGAGGGAAUUGUUUGAGGGGGGGUUGGAGGAUUUCAGUAAUGAAAAAAGACUCCUUUGCAAAUGAAUAGGCCGGAUCACAUUCCAAACAGAUCAUGUGCCUUUCAUAUUUUCAGAAAACAGAUUUCUUUGGUGAGUUGGACAGCUCUGUGUGUUGUGUUGUCCUGUGGUGGGCUUCAAAGGACUAAAAUGAUCACACCAGUGCUUUGUCUUAUAGUUUUACCUCAUUUUCUGCAGAGCACAUAUACUGCACUUACUAUAACUUGCUGACCACCAUAAAUCAGGGAAGGCAGUGACUGGUUUGGCUUCACUUCAUUACAAUAUGAAACUUACACCUGUUACCUUAUAAUGAUCCGAUCGGCCUUUAUGUGUAGUUAUUGCAUAUUUAUUUUAAGAUGACCACCAACCAUAUCGAAUUCAUUCUGUUAAUCCAAACGGUCUGAACCUGAAGACAUUGACUGACUGUAACAAUCUCAUUGCAUCUAUUGUUACUAUUGUCUUUAAUAAAGAAAAGUUCAUUAUCGCCAA